rnacentral:tRNA from 1 species
UGAUGUAGCUCAGUCGGUAGAGCAGUUCAUUCGUAAUGAACGGGUCGUAGGUUCGAUUCCUAUCAUCA